UAAGGAAUAUUGGUCAAUGGGCGAGAGCCUGAACCAGCCAUGCCGCGUGCAGGAUGACGGCCUUAUGGGUUGUAAACUGCUUUUGUACGGGAAUAAAUCUGAUUACGAGUAAUUAGUUGAAGGUACCGUAAGAAUAAGCAUCGGCUAACUCCGUGCCAGCAGCCGCGGUAAUACGGAGGAUGCAAGCGUUAUCCGGAUUCAUUGGGUUUAAAGGGUGCGCAGGCGGACUAAUAAGUCAGUGGUGAAAUUCUACGGCUCAACUGUAGAACUGCCAUUGAUACUGUUAGACUAGAGUAUAUUUGGAGUGGGCGGAAUGUGUCAUGUAGCGGUGAAAUGCAUAGAUAUGACACAGAACACCGAUCGCGAAGGCAGCUCACUAAGAUACAACUGACGCUCAUGCACGAAAGCGUGGGGAUCAAACAGG
rnacentral:rRNA from 1 species